rnacentral:rRNA from 1 species
CGAACGGGUGAGUAACGCGUGAGGGAACCUGCCUCAAAGAAGGGGGUAACAGUUGGAAACGGCUGCUAAUACCGCAUAAGCGCACGGCAUCGCAUGAUGCAGUGUGAAAAACUCCGGUGGUAUAAGAUGGACCCGCGUUGGAUUAGCUGGUUGGUGAGGUAACGGCCCACCAAGGCGACGAUCCAUAGCCGACCUGAGAGGGUGACCGGCCACAUUGGGACUGAGACACGGCCCAA